rnacentral:misc_RNA from 1 species
AACAUCGCGCACCUGCGGGAACCUGCGGAGGGAUCAUUACAGAGUUGCAAAACUCCCUAAACCAUUGUGAACGUUACCUAAACCGCUGCUUCGGCGGGCGGCCCGGGUCCUUCCCGGCGCCCAUCGGCCCUCGCGGGCGCCCGCCGGAGGUAAACCAAACUAUUGCAUUGUAUGGCCUCUCUGAGUCUUCUGUACUGAAUAAGUCAAAACUUUCAACAACGGAUCUCAGAUCGGAAGAGC